GUAGGUGGCAAGCGUUAUCCGGGAAUUAUUGGGGCGUAAAGCGCGCGCAGGCGGUUUCUUAAGUCUGAUGUGAAAGCCCACGGGCUCAACCGUGGAGGGUCAUUGGAAGCUGGGGAACUUGAGUGCAGAAGAGAAAAGCGGAAUUCCACGUGUAGCGGUGAAAUGCGUAGAGAUGUGGAGGAACACCAGUGGCGAAGGCGGCUUUUUGGUCUGUAACUGACGCUGAGGCGCGAAAGCGUGGGGAGCAAACAGGAUUAGAUACCCUGGUAGUCCACGCCGUAAACGAUGAGUGCUAAGUGUUAGAGGGUUUCCGCCCUUUAGUGCUGCAGCUAACGCAUUAAGCACUCCGCCUGGGGAGUACGGUCGCAAAGACUG
rnacentral:rRNA from 1 species